UACAGAGGGUGCGAGCGUUGUUCGGAAUUAUUGGGCGUAAAGCGCUUGUAGGCGGUACAGUCAGUCAUGUGUGAAAGCUCUUGGCUCAACCAAGAAAGUGCAUAUGAUACUGCUGUGCUAGAAUCUGAGAGAGGGUGGUGGAAUUCCUAGUGUAGAGGUGAAAUUCGUAGAUAUUAGGAGGAACACCAGAGGCGAAGGCGACCACCUGGAUCAGUAUUGACGCUGAGACGCGAAAGCGUGGGGAGCAAACAGG
rnacentral:rRNA from 1 species